UACAGAGGGGGCAAGCGUUGUUCGGAAUUACUGGGCGUAAAGGGCGCGUAGGCGGCCUUCUAAGUCGAACGUGAAAUCCCCGGGCUCAACCCGGGAACUGCGUCCGAUACUGGAAGGCUUGAAUCCGGGAGAGGGAUGCGGAAUUCCAGGUGUAUCGGUGAAAUGCGUAGAUAUCUGGAGGAACACCGGUGGCGAAGGCGGCAUCCUGGACCGGUAUUGACGCUGAGGCGCGAAAGCUAGGGGAGCAAACAGG
rnacentral:rRNA from 1 species